rnacentral:rRNA from 1 species
GACGAACGCUGGCGGCGCGCUUAACACAUGCAAGUCGAACGGAAAGGCCUGCUUUCCCUUGUGGAUUGCGGGUACUCGAGUGGCGAACGGGUGAGUAACACGUGAGUGAUCUGCCCCCAACUUGGGUAUAAGCCUGGGAAACUGGGUCUAAUUCCCGAUAGGACUGCAGGGUGGUGCCUGUGGUGGAAAACGAUUUUCUAGUGGUUGGGGAUGAGCUCGCGGCCUAUCAGCUUGUUGGUGGGGUAAUGGCCUACCAAGGCGGCGACGGGUAGCCGGCCUGGGAGGGCGGACGGCCACAUUGGGACUGAGAUACGGCCCAGACUCCUACGGGAGGCAGCAGUGGGGAAUAUUGCACAAUGGGCGGAAGCCUGAUGCAGCGACGCCGCGUGGGGGAUGACGGCCUUCGGGUUGUAAACUCCUUUCGACCGCGAGGAAGCCACCUGGUUGGAAGGGUGGUGACGGUAGUGGUAGAAGAAGCACCGGCUAACUACGUG